UACGGGGGGGGCAAGCGUUGUUCGGAAUUACUGGGCGUAAAGGGCGCGUAGGCGGUCUACUAAGUUGGAUGUGAAAACUCUGGGCUUAACCCAGAGCCUGCAUUCAAAACUGAUAGGCUGGAGUUCUGGAGGGGAUAGCGGAAUUCCUGGUGUAGCGGUGAAAUGCGUAGAUAUCAGGAGGAACACCGGUGGCGAAGGCGGCUAUCUGGACAGAAACUGACGCUGAGGCGCGAAAGCGUGGGGAGCAAACAGG
rnacentral:rRNA from 1 species